CCACGGAGGAAGGCCCGGCUAACUACGUGCCAGCAGCCGCGGUAAUACGUAGGGGUCGAGCGUUGUCCGGAGUUACUGGGCGUAAAGCGCAUGCAGGCGGCUCAUUACGCAUGGCGUGAAAGCCCCCGGCUUAACCGGGGAGGGUCGUCGUGAACGGGUGAGCUUGAGGAUAUCAGGGGCUGGUGGAAUUCCCGGUGUAGUGGUGAAAUGCGUAGAUAUCGGGAGGAACACCUGUGGCGAAGGCGGCCAGCUGGGAUAUACCUGACGCUGAGAUGCGAAGGCGUGGGGAGCGAACGGGAUUAGAUACCCCGGUAGUCCACGCAGUAAACGAUGCAGACUAGGCGUGGGAGGACUUGACCCCUUCCGUGCCGGAGCUAACGCGAUAAGUCUGCCGCCUGGGGAGUACGGUCGCAAGACUAAAACUCAAAGG
rnacentral:rRNA from 1 species